UGCAGAAUAGCUCAGUUGGUUAGAGCAGGCACGUAACAUAAUGAGUAAACCCUUAACAUAUUCUUAUCAACCGUGCGACCUGGUCGUGGGUUCGAGUCCCACUUCUGCAA
rnacentral:tRNA from 1 species